GUCUCUAACCUACGAGAUCCGCGCCGUCGCUAACGCAUUAAGUGCCCCGCCUGGGGAGUACGGUCGCAAGACUUAAACUCAAAGGAAUUGACGGGGGCCCGCACAAGCAGCGGAGCGUGUUGCUUAAUUCGAUGCUACGCGAAGAACCUUACCUAGGUUAAAUCAUUGGGAAAAGCCACAGAGAUGUGGUGUCCUUCGGGGCUCAAUGAAGGUGGUGCAUGGCUGUCGUCAGCUCGUGUCGUGAGACGUUGGGUUAAGUCCCGCAACGAGCGCAACCCUUAUUCUAUGUUGCCAGCACGUAAUGGUGGGGACUCGUAGGAGACUGCCGGGGUCAACUCGGAGGAAGGUGGGGAUGACGUCAAGUCAUCAUGCCCCUUAUGUCUAGGGCUGCAAACACGCUACAAUGGCCGGUACAAAGGGCUGCGAAACCGCGAGGUUUAGCGAAUCCCAUAAAGCCGGUCUCAGUUCGGAUUGGAGGCUGCAACUCGCCUCCAUGAAGCUGGAGUUGCUAGUAAUCCCGGAUCAGCACGCCGGGGUGAAUACGUUCCCGGGCCUUGUACACACCGCCCGUCACACCACGAAAGUC
rnacentral:rRNA from 1 species